rnacentral:rRNA from 1 species
GAUGAACGCUGGCGGCGUGCCUAAUACACGCAAGUCGAGCGAACGGACGAGAAGCUUGCUUCUCUGAUGUUAGCGGCGGACGGGUGAGUAACACGUGGAUAACCUACCUAUAAGACUGGGAUAACUUCGGGAAACCGGAGCUAAUACCGGAUGAUAUUUUGAACCGCAUGGUUCAAAAGUGAAAGACGGUCUUGCUGUCACUUAUAGAUGGAUCCGUGCUGCAUUAGCUAGUUGGUAAGGUAACGGCUUACCAAGGCAACGAUGCAUAGCCGACCUGAGAGGGUGAUCGGCCACACUGGAACUGAGACACGGUCCAGACUCCUACGGGAGGCAGCAGUAGGGAAUCUUCCGCAAUGGGCGAAAGCCUGACGGAGCAACGCCGCGUGAGUGAUGAAGGUCUUCGGAUCGUAAAACUCUGUUAUUAGGGAAGAACAUAUGUGUAAGUAACUGUGCACAUCUUGACGGUACCUAAUCAGAAAGCCACGGCUAACUACGUG